AUUGAACGCUGGCGGCAUGCUUUACACAUGCAAGUCGAACGGUAACAGGCCGCAAGGUGCUGACGAGUGGCGAACGGGUGAGUAAUGCAUCGGAACGUGCCCAGUCGUGGGGGAUAACUACUCGAAAGAGUAGCUAAUACCGCAUACGGUCUAUGGAUGAAAGCGGGGGACCGUAAGGCCUCGCGCGAUUGGAGCGGCCGAUGUCAGAUUAGGUAGUUGGUGGGGUAAAGGCUCACCAAGCCAACGAUCUGUAGCUGGUCUGAGAGGACAACCAGCCACACUGGGACUGAGACACGGCCCAGACUCCUACGGGAGGCAGCAGUGGGGAAUUUUGGACAAUGGGCGCAAGCCUGAUCCAGCAAUGCCGCGUGCAGGAAGAAGGCCUUCGGGUUGUAAACUGCUUUUGUACGGAACGAAACGGCUCUGGUUAAUACCCGGGGCUAAUGACGGUACCGUAAGAAUAAGCACCGGCUAACUACGUG
rnacentral:rRNA from 1 species